rnacentral:rRNA from 1 species
UAGGGAAUCUUCCACAAUGGGCGUAAGCCUGAUGGAGCAACGCCGCGUGUGUGAUGAAGGCUUUCGGGUCGUAAAGCACUGUUGUAUGGGAAGAAAUGCUAGAAUAGGGAAUGAUUCUAGUUCGACGGUACCAUACCAGAAAGGGACGGCUAAAUACGUGCCAG